ACUAAAAUGAUUGGUCCAUAAUCAAUCAUACAUGCACACAAUAGAUAGUGAAAACAAAAUAACCUAACCCUAUAUAUAUAUAUAUAUAUAUAGGUAAAGGUUCAAAUGAGAACCAAAAAAUAAUAAGAACCAUAAGAACCAUUAUAACUUAUUUUUGUAAAUUUAACUUAAUGUUAUAAAACAUACAUAUUUUUCAUUGUUACGAUCAGAUCUAAGUUAUAACAUUUCAAAAUCUUUCAAAAAACUUUCCCAACAUUUUUUAAAGAACACAGACCCAAAGAUCUCCACCACCACCAACUACCGCCGACGACGCCACCACCACCAACUAUCGUCGGCAGCAACACCACCGCCGACACCACCGCAGAAGGCCGAACACCUCCACCAGUAGAUCGACGUGUCUAUUUACAUCAGAUCUAACCAGAUCUGAUGUGUUUGUGCAAUUUCAUGUUAGGUUUGGCUAACAACCACUUCUAACGAGAUUGAAGGAGCUCCAACGAUAUCUGGUUUUGUGUUCUUCAGAUCUACGACUGCCUCCAUUUUUUCUCUGUUUUGCUCCGGUGAACCAUCAACCUCCACUCUCAAACCUUACCGGAGAGCCAAACAACAUCACUUGACGUCAAAGAUGAUGAGGCUAUUAUUGUUCUGUCAAGAUAUGAUGUUUUUUGUUGAUUAUGGAUCUGAUGUAUGUGGUGCAUAUAAAGUGUUUGAUGAAAUGCCUCAACGAAAUUCAAUAUGAUUUAUGAAGGAACGAUGUUGGCAAAAUACGGUAGUUAGCGGUGUUGUUGUUGGUGGUGAUGGUAGAGUAAGGAUAUAGUCUAUUUCUCUCAUCUUCUUCAUUGAUUUCAGAUAAGUUAUCAUCUCUUAUGAUUCAUAUAUAUGUUUUUUUUAAUGUUUGCUUCUAAAAUAUGCCAUAAUUAUGUGUGUAUUAAACUGUGAAUUGGUUGUUUAAUACGAUGAAAUAUGAAAUUAUACUUAUAAAUGAGUUGUGAAUGUAUUGUAUUAAACUGUGAAUUUUGUGUAUUAAGCUGUAAAGUUUAUUCACAGCUUAGUAUAAUAAAUUCACAAUUUAAUACACAAAAACGAAGCUAAAUAUAUACGUAUAAAUGUAAGUUUUAAGUUGAUAAUAUAUAAGUUUUGUUUAUUAAACUGUGAACUUAUUGUAUUAAGCUGUGAAUUUUUUAUAUUAAAUUAUGAAGUGACUGUAUUAAGCUGUGAAUUGUUUGUAUUAAGCUGUGAACUUUUUAUGAAUUUUGUGGUUUCUUCAAAAAUAUGAAAAUAAAUAAACAUUGUACAUAUAUUCGAUUUUCUCUAAUUUUGAAUAAAAUAUGUAAAAUUUAAAUUGUGAAUAUUGUAUAAUUUAAAAUUUGAAAGAAGCACUAUCUUCCAGAUAUUUAAGGUAUAAAUGUAAUUUUUACAUUGACAAUAUGGCUGUAAAUGUAUAAUUUUGUAUUAAAUUGUGAAUUUAUUAUAUUAAAUUGUGAAUUUUGUGUAUUAAACUGUGAAUCAACUGUAUUAAAAUAUGAAUAGUUAUAAAUUUUGUGUUAAAAUAUGAUAUAUUUAUAUAUAAAUGUUUGUAUUAAUUUUCUUGUGAAUAUAUUUAUUCUUUGUGUUGUAUAAAUAUAUAAGAAUAUAGUAGUUUUAAUAUUUGUUUUCCAUUAAACUUUAAAUGAGUGAAUUAAUAAGUUUAUUAAACUGUGAAUGUAUUAUUUAAGUUGUCAAUGUAUGAUUUUAUAUACAGAUCUAAUUUGGAAUGAAAGAUUGUGGCAACGUUGGCACAAGUGGUUGUUGGCGGCGUGUGGUAGUUGGUGGUGGUAGUAGAGUUUGAUAUUGUCUUUUCUAAAUCUUUGAAUUAAUGUAGAAUGUAUUGUAUUAAGUUUUGAAUUUGUUUAUAUUAAACUGCAAAUGAACUGUAUUAUAUACAUAUUGUGUUAAAAUAUCAAUGAAAAUA